rnacentral:sRNA from 1 species
CUGAGCCGUGUAGUUGGGCAAAGAAGGAUCGUUCUCCAUUUCGAAUACCCACGUCUGGUUGCCAAUGACGAUGCGGUAGCGAUCCACUUCCUCUUUCAUGUAGGUGGUCAACAGACCGCCGUCGGACAGGCAUCUCGACGUUGUCGUAGGAACUACCAACACAAAAACUAGCAGAUCAAAAAUCAAUUUUUGGCGCAUAAAAAUAUCUUAUAAAAAUAAGUUAUAUGCUUUUUUUUGAUCAGAAAUCCAAUUUGUGGGUACAUUUUCUGUAAAAACUGACUAAAUUCUAUGUUCCUGUAUCUUCUUC